AGUGAACGCUGGCGGCAGGCCUAACACAUGCAAGUCGAACGGCAGCACAGCAGUAGCAGUACUGUGGGUGGCGAGUGGCGGACGGGUGAGGAAUACAUCGGAAUCUGCCUAGUCGUGGGGGAUAACGUAGGGAAACUUACGCUAAUACCGCAUACGACCUACGGGUGAAAGCGGGGGAUCGCAAGACCUCGCGCGAUUAGAUGAGCCGAUGUCCGAUUAGCUAGUUGGCGGGGUAAUGGCCCACCAAGGCGACGAUCGGUAGCUGGUCUGAGAGGAUGAUCCGCCACACUGGGACUGAAACACGGCCCAGACUCCUACGGGAGGCAGCAGUGGGGAAUUUUGGACAAUGGGCGCAAGCCUGAUCCAGCCAUGCCGCGUGAGUGAAGAAGGCCUUCGGGUUGUAAAGCUCUUUCAGGUGGAAAGAAAUCGGCGGGGUGAAUACCCCCGCUGGAUGACGGUACCAUCAGAAGAAGCACCGGCUAACUACGUGCCAGCAGCCGCGGUAAUACGUAGGGUGCGAGCGUUAAUUGGAAUUACUGGGCGUAAAGCGUGCGCAGGCGGUGAUGUAAGACAGAUGUGAAAUCCCCGGGCUCAACCUGGGAACUGCGUUUGUGACUGCAUCACUCGAGUACGGCAGAGGGAGGUGGAAUUCCACGUGUAGCAGUGAAAUGCGUAGAGAUGUGGAGGAACACCGAUGGCGAAGGCAGCCUCCUGGGCCAG
rnacentral:rRNA from 1 species